GUCCCUGUAGCGCAAUGGAUAGCGUGUUGGACUUCUAAUUCAAAGGUUGUGGCUUCAAAUUGCACCUGGGAUG